GAUGAACGCUGACAGAAUGCUUAACACAUGCAAGUCAACUGUGGCGGACGGGUGAGUAACGCGUAAAGAACUUGCCUCACGGAUAGGGACAACAUUUGGAAACGAAUGCUAAUACCUGAUACUGUGAGAGAGGUUUGCGUCCCAUUAGCUAGUUGGAGAGGUAACGGCUCACCAAGGCGAUGAUGGGUAGCCGGCCUGUGAGGGUGAUCGGCCACAAGGGGACUGAGACACGGCCCUUACUCCUACGGGCGGCAGCGGUGGGUAAUAUUGAACAAUGGGCCAAAGUCUGAUCCAGCAAUUCUGUGUGCACGAUGAAGUUUUCGGAAUGUAAAGUGCUUUCAGUAGGGAAGCGGUACCAACAGAAGAAGUGACGGCUAAAUACGUGCCAGCAGCCGCGGUAAUAC
rnacentral:rRNA from 1 species